GAUUAGCUAAAAAAUUAAUAAAUCUAAUACAUUUCGAGAUUCAUGAAUUCGAUAUUGCGCACAAAACAUUUUUAGUCUUUUAAAAUGGAAUAUUAAUAAUUAAUUUUUUGAAUUUUAAAUAAUUGAUUUUUUGAAACACCGUGGUGAUGUUGUUCCGAGUACUGAGGAAAAUAAUGUAAACAAACCCUCUUACAUUGCAUUACCAUUUGUUGAAGGUUUGAGUGACAAUAUCGGUCGGUUGUUUAAAAAUAUGGGUUUUACUGUUGUCUACAAUAUACCUAAAAAAUUAAACUCAUUGAUUAAACGUGGUAAAGAUGGACUGCUUAUUAGCAAUAGAACGGAAGUCGUUUAUAAAAUAAAUUGCAAGGACUGUAGCGGUUCAUAUAUUGGUCAAACGAAAAGACAUUUAAGUACCCGCGUGAAAGAACAUUUUAAUAACAUAAAAAUGCACGCAAGUAAUCUUUCCGUAAUUAGUAAACACAAAUUAGAAUUUGAUCAUGACUUCGAUUGGUCAACGCCUGAUAUUCUGCAUACUGAAAAACAUGUAAGAAAGAGAGAAAUAGCUGAAAUGUUUUUUAUUAAAAAAUAUGACAACACUAUUAACUCUCAAAAGGAUACAGAGAAUUUAAAUAACAUAUACGAUAGAUUAAUAAAGGUCGUUUAGUCUUUCUCAGUAUCUUAAACAGAGAGGUUGACACAGUGUCAUUAUGACAUAGCGACUUUUUCUCUUUCAACUCUAACUAUAACGCAGGUACAUAAAUUUGUUUAUUUCAUUUUUAUAACGUGAUUGUCAUUAUUUAAUAUUGUAAUUUUAGUUCACUUGAUAAGGACCAAAACCAUAUGGUCGAAACGUUGUGAUCACAAUCAAACAAUAAAUUGCCAGUUGGGUCGGAUAUAUAUAAACACUCCUUUAAUUUAUCUACUGGCGACAUCUCAAAAUUAAACAUUAAUUAAUAAUUAAUUUAUAAAUUAAAGUAAAGAUUUGCCUUGUAGAAUAUAAUUUAAUCUCAAAAUCAUAAAUAUUAUCUUAUAUCAAACUAACUUUUUUAUAGUGACUAUAUUACGAAAGUUUUAUUAGUGAUUGCACACAAAAAUUGAUGAAAAUAAAAAUUUUAAUUUUAUAGGACAAAGGUUUACUCUAACUCACAAAUUAAUUAUUAAUCUUAUAUUUUAAAAGGCCAAAAGUGCUUUGAAUGCGCAAUGUCAAAUUCAUGAAUCUCGAAAUGUAUUAGAUUUAUUAACAAAUUAAGAAAUUAUUAAGACUCCAAAGUGAAAAUCAUAAGUCUGAAUUUUCGCGGGCCAAUAAGAAUCAGACGCGGAUGAUAAUGCGUCAGUUUCACAAAAAAUAAUUUUUCUGUGAAACUGAUUACUGUGUACAUACCAGCACGAACUUUUCUUGAUCCUAUAUCAAGAAUAAAUACAUCUCAAUUCGAGAUCUUGAUAAGCCUCUUUUUACCACCCUGAGCAUAGGCGAGAAAAAUAUCGGAGCGAAGUCGUUGAAUCAGGAAUCGAACCCCAGGCGGAAAAUAUUUUAUAAUAUAAAAGUUUUUCUCACGUGCCUCUCCCACGUUAUGAUGAAUAGCAAUCAAAGAAAAUAUCCAAAAAAUCCACGGCAAAACGCAAAUUCAGUCUCUCUCCUUACUUUUUGUCGAUUGUAGAAGCUGUUCAAUGUCCCCACGUUUCUGCAUCAGCGAUUUCCAUGUUUCAAAAGGCAAUAUUAUUUGAUUGCCCCGAUUAUCGCCGAGAACCAAUUCCACGCAAGAUACAGCUCCAACGUUUAUUCCAAUGUCCAA